UACGUAGGGUGCGAGCGUUGUCCGGAAUUACUGGGCGUAAAGCGCCCGUAGGCGGCUUGAUAAGUUGGACGUGAAAGCUCCCGGCUUAACUGGGAGAGGCCGUUCAAAACUGACAGGCUAGAGUGAGGAAGAGGAGAGCGGAAUUCCCGGUGUAGUGGUGGAAUGCGUAGAUAUCGGGAGGAACACCAGUGGCGAAAGCGGCUCUCUGGUCCUAAACUGACGCUGAGGGGCGAAAGCGUGGGGAGCGAACAGG
rnacentral:rRNA from 1 species